rnacentral:rRNA from 1 species
UACGUAGGGUGCAAGCGUUAAUCGGAAUUACUGGGCGUAAAGCGUGCGCAGGCGGCUAUGCAAGACAGAUGUGAAAUCCCCGGGCUCAGCCUGGGAACUGCAUUUGUGACUGCAUGGCUAGAGUACGGUAGAGGGGGAUGGAAUUCCGCGUGUAGCAGUGAAAUGCGUAGAUAUGCGGAGGAACACCGAUGGCGAAGGCAAUCCCCUGGACCUGUACUGACGCUCAUGCGCGAAAGCGUGGGGAGCAAACAGG